UACGUAGGGGGCAAGCGUUGUCCGGAAUCAUUGGGCGUAAAGCGCGCGUAGGCGGCCCUGUAAGUCCGCUGUAAAAGUCAAAGGCUCAACCUUUGAAAGCCGGUGGAUACUGCGGGGCUAGAGUCCGGAAGAGGCGAGUGGAAUUCCUGGUGUAGCGGUGGAAUGCGCAGAUAUCAGGAGGAACACCAAUAGCGAAGGCAGCUCGCUGGGACGGUACUGACGCUAAGGCGCGAAAGCGUGGGGAGCAAACAGG
rnacentral:rRNA from 1 species